CCACCUGCUGCUAACUCAAGCCUUUGAUAUUCACCUCCCUCAGCCUGCUCUUCCAUUUAUAUAGAGGGUUGAGCACUACACUCCUUCCAAAACUUUCUUUUUUAGAGGACUUAGAUUAGACUUCUGGCUCAUUCCACUUUCCAUCUGAAGCUCUACCAGGUUUCACCUCCCCCAUUGCCAGGUACCCCCUGGUGACCCUCCCUUGCUCCUCAAUCUUUAUUUUAUGUACUGUCUUCUCCUCACUAGAUUGUAAGCUCAUUGAAUUGAAAUUAUGAACUUGAAAAAUUAUUUUUCAAACAAAAAUCUGCCUUCUUUCUCUCACCUCUGCCCCCACUAAGAAAGCAAGAAAAGCAAAACCCGUAUUACAAACCUGCAGCAAGAUAUGAAAUCUGGGUCUAGCAAUGAUUAAAGCAGCCUGAUUUGCUUCUUAAAACAGUGGUGCAGAUGUUGGAGCCCAUCUUCCUGAUGAAAGGAUUUGGCAGGUUGUGAGCAUAUUUGAGGUGCUCAGUUGUGCUGCAGAGCCAGCCCACGACUCCUGUUCACUCACCUGGAUCACACAGAGAGAAAGUAGCAGAGCUCCAUUUGAACCCAGACCUCUGGACUCCAAAGUCAAUUCUCACCUAUUAGGAAGGCAUUCAAGGCUCAGACAAGAAGUGGCCACCAGGUUGUUAGAUGGACCAGAUGAUAUCAAGAUUCUUCCAAUCCCUGAACAUGGGGAGAAUGAGGUCCACUACAAUGACCCGCUGACCUUAGAAUGUCAGGCUCAGUCUUAUCUACCUGCCCAGUAUGAGUGGCACGUCAAAGACACUUCUGGACCUGUACAUUCAGGAAGCACUUACACCAUCAUGCAUGCAUCUUGGAAACAUUCAGGAAAAGUAUUCAUGUUGGGCAAGGAGCAAAUGACCAACUUGUCAAUCUCUAUGGACAUCACCAUCAAGGUAGUUGGUAAGUGGUCUCUCCCUUCCCUCAGACAGUAAGUCUCU
ensembl:lncRNA